CCAGAGGUCAUCCUCCUCUUUCUGACCAAGGCCAUCCCCUCCUUCUCCUCUUCAACUAACCAUUUUUAUCCGCCAUGGUGAUUUCUUUUCUGCUACACGAACUGACGAGCGCCUAUACAGAUCGAAGGACCUUCUCUGUUGUCUGAAAUUUGCACCAAGUGAGCAGCUGUACUGAAGUACAUCGAACGUUUUGCAGUGCAUCUAACUAACCUGACCUCACAAGUGCUGAUUUGUAGGUCUGCUCUGAAAUUAGAAGUUGGCUUUAUCUGAAGACCUUGUGUAAAAUUGCUUGGUGCCUUUCGAAAGAUUUCACUCAGAGCAAGAAAGUGAUCAUCAAGUUGCGGUACCUCAUGUCGAUGCGAAGUGGAGAGAAGACCCGAGUAGGGCUAGUGGUCGUUGCCUUGCAAUUAAUCUUAUUCAAAAGUCCCUCUGCCUCUGACAUGGCAAUUGAUAAUUCAAGUUUUUUUAUUGUUGUGAACAAAGUUGAACGAUGAUGGCACGUGAAAACGGUUUAGGCCAACACUUGGUCGCAGUGAAAUGUGGACCGGCCGGUAUUUGAACCUUGGUGAACUGAUGGUUAUCAAUUGUAAUAUUUCUUUCUAGUUUACCGGAAUUCUGAAAUUUUGUAUGUGUUUUUUAGAAUUAUUUGUGAAAUUCUUAUCUAUUGUCAGUUAUUAUCUGUAGAAUUUUCUAUGAAGGCUGUGAAAUUUUGUAUGUACAAGUCUAUUGUUAUCUGUGUAUGAUG